rnacentral:rRNA from 1 species
GACGAACGCUGGCGGCGUGCUUAACACAUGCAAGUCGAACGGAAAGGCCCUGCUGUUUGGGGGUUCUCGAGUGGCGAACGGGUGAGUAACACGUGAGUAACCUGCCCUUGACUUUGGGGUAACUUCAGGAAACUAGGGCUAAUACCGGAUAGGAGCGCCGGCUGCAUGGUGGGGGUUGGAAAGGUUCGACGGGUGGGGAUGGACUCGCGGCUGAUCAUCUUGUUGGGGGGGUAGUGGCAUACCAAGUCUUUGACGGGUAGCCGGCCUGAGAGGGUGACCGGGCACCUUGGGACUGAGAUACGGCCCAGAGUCCUAUGGGGGGCAGCAGUGGCGAAUAUUGCACAGUGGGCGCGAGUCUAUUGAAGAAACGCCGCGUGCGUGAUGAAGGCUCUGGGGUUGUAAACCGCUUUAGCCUGUGACGAAGCGUCAGUGACGGUAAUGGCUAAAGAAGCACCGGCUAACUCCGUG